ACCCAUGAUGACAACUUCUUUUACAACUGAAAGCAAAUUGUUAGAUUUGCAUAAUUGCUGACAAUCAAUGCACUAGGACGGUCUAAGAA
rnacentral:snoRNA from 1 species